AGUUAAAAAGCUCGUAGUCGGAUUUCGGGGCCUGCCGAGCGGUCUGCCGAUGGGUAUGCACUGUUCGGCGCGUCCUCCUUUCCGGAGACUAAUUCUACUCUUAACUGAGCGGAAUUGGGAGACGGAUCGUUUACUUUGAAAAAAUCAGAGUGUUUCAAGCAGGCAGCUCGCUCUUGCAUGGAUUAGCAUGGGAUAAUGAAAUAGGACUCUGGUGCUAUUUUGUUGGUUUCGAACACCGGAGUAAUGAUUAACAGGGACAGUCAGGGGCACUCGUAUUCCGUCGAGAGAGGUGAAAUUCUCAGACCAAUGGAAGACGAACCACUGCGAAAGCAUUUGCCAGGGAUGUUUUCACUGAUCAAGAACGAAAGUUAGGGGAUCGAAGACGAUCAGAUACCGUCGUAGUCUUAACCAUAAACCAUGCCGACUAGGGAUUGGAGGGUGUUCUAUUCGACCCCUUCAGCACCUUACGGGAAACUAAAGUCUUUGGGUUCCGGGGGGAGUAUGGUCGCAAGGCUGAAACUUAAAGGAAUUGACGGAAGGGCACCACCAGGAGUGGAGCCUGCGGCUUAAUUUGACUCAACACGGGGAAACUUACCAGGUCCAGACAUUGUUAGGAUUGACAGAUUGAGAGCUCUUUCUUGAUUCGAUGGGUGGUGGUGCAUGGCCGUUCUUAGUUGGUGGAGUGAUUUGUCUGGUUAAUUCCGUUAACGAACGAGACCUUAACCUGCUAAAUAGUGGCAGCUACUCUUUGUAGGUGGCCAACUUCUUAGAGGGACAACUUGUUUUCAUCAAGUG
rnacentral:rRNA from 1 species